UGGCUCAAUGGUUAGAGCGAUGGACUUCUGAUCAACGGCUCGCGAGUUCGAUCCUCGU
rnacentral:tRNA from 1 species